AACCUGCGAGGCAGAACGACCCGUGAAUCGGUAAAAACCAAAUAAAGAGGAAGGCGGGCCUUAGGGUCCGCCGACCGAAGUCCCAAUGCGAGGGCCGCGGGCAAAAUCUUCGGCCUUCGUUGCGGGCAACAACAAUCCCCGGCGCGGAUCGCGCCAAGGAAUCGAAACACAGAUGCGCGCCCCCAGUCCCUCGAAUGGUGCCCUGUGGGGUGCGUCGUCGUUAUCAUAUCUGAAACGACUCUCGGCAACGGAUAUCUCGGCUCUCGCAUCGAUGAAGAACGUAGCGAAAUGCGAUACUUGGUGUGAAUUGCAGAAUCCCGUGAACCAUCGAGUUUUUGAACGCAAGUUGCGCCCGAAGUCGUCAGGCCGAGGGCACGCCUGCCUGGGUGUCAUAAAACGUCGCCGAAUCCCCUCGCACCUCCUAAGGGGGAACGACGGGGGCCGGCGGAUAUUGGCCUCCCGCGACCUCUUCGGUUCGCGGUUGGCCCAAACGAGAGUCCCGGGCGAGGCAGCCACGACACGCGGUGGUUGGAAGCACGCGCUCCUCGAACACCGUCGUGGGCGUCUCGCCGAUCGGGAGCAAAGACCCCGACGCGUUGCGUCUUUCACAGCGCGACCCCAG
rnacentral:rRNA from 1 species